UUUGCAGGAAUGAGCAGCUAACAUGUAAGAAGUAUCCCUUUUUGGGGAUCUUCAAUGCAAUGUUGUUACGCUUGGCUUCCGAGCUGC